AUUGAACGCUGGCGGAAUGCUUUACACAUGCAAGUCGAACGGUAGAGGGGGCAACCCCUCGAGAGUGGCGAACGGGUGAGUAAUAUAUCGGAACGUGCCCAGUCGUGGGGGAUAACGUAGCGAAAGUUACGCUAAUACCGCAUACGAUCUAAGGAUGAAAGCGGGGGAUCGCAAGACCUCGCGCGAUUGGAGCGGCCGAUAUCAGAUUAGGUAGUUGGUGGGGUAAAGGCUCACCAAGCCAACGAUCGGUAGCUGGUCUGAGAGGACGACCAGCCACACUGGGACUGAGACACGGCCCAGACUCCUACGGGAGGCAGCAGUGGGGAAUUUUGGACAAUGGGCGAAAGCCUGAUCCAGCAAUGCCGCGUGCAGGAAGAAGGCCCUCGGGUUGUAAACUGCUUUUGUACGGAACGAAAAGGUUUCCAUUAAUACUGGGAGCUCAUGACGGUACCGUAAGAAUAAGCAUCGGCUAACUACGUGCCAGCCGCCGCCGUAA
rnacentral:rRNA from 1 species